GCAGUCAUGGCCGAGUGGUUAAGGCAAUGGACUAGAAAUCCAUUGGGGUCUCCCCGCACAGGUUCGAAUCCUGUCGACAGUG
rnacentral:tRNA from 1 species